rnacentral:rRNA from 1 species
GAUGAACGCUGGCGGCGUGCCUAAUACAUGCAAGUCGAGCGAACGGACGCGACGCUUGCUUUUCUGAUGUUAGCGGCGGACGGGUGAGUAACACGUGGAUACCCUACCUAUAAGACUGGGAUAACUUCGGGAAACCGGAGCUAAUACCGGAUAAUCUUUUGCACCGCAUGGUUCAACAGUAAAAGACGGUCUUGCUGUCAGUUCUAGAUGGAUCCGCGCUGCAUUGGCUAGUUGGUACGGUACCGGCUUACCACGGCAACGAUGCAUAGCCGACCUGCGAGGGGGAUGGGCCACAGUGGAAGUGAGACGCGGUCCUGGCACCGACGGAAGGCAGCAGCAGGUAAUCUACCGAAAAGGGGGAAAGCCUGACGGAGCGACGCAGCGUGAGUGAUGAAGGGCUGCGGAUCGGAAAACGCUGUUAUGAGGGAAGAACAUAUGUGUAAGUAACGGUGCGCAUCUGGAGGGGACCGAAACAGAAGACCAGGGUGAACUACGG